AGAGAGAUCACGGCUGAGACUUUUCCAGAGUUACUGGAAUCUAAGCAAGAUGAAAAGGAAUACACAGCAUGAACCACCACCGGCAAAGCUCAGAAUACCAACUAGGAUAGAGGGGAUUUUUCCAAAGUAGCCACAUCCCUUGUAGCGAGGACCCAGCUCGGCCCUGCGGUCAGUGACGGACUCAGCUUCCCGAGGAAGCCGGAUCUGUUUUCAGACCCCUCAUUACUAAUACUCGGUUCUACAUAUGGAAAGUCCUUCAGGCCUCCCCAAGCUUUCAGGUCAUGAUCUCGUGAUUCGUGAGACCGAGCCCCGCACUGGGCUCUGCACCGUGAGUGGAGCCUGCUUGGGAUUCUCGAUCUCUACCUCCGCCCCUCCCCCACUCGCGCGUGCACGUUCUCU